rnacentral:lncRNA from 1 species
AUUUUUUCCUAACUUUUGUCUCUAGCAUGCACAUUAUUUGAUCACUAAAUGUGAUGGGUUCUUUACAAAUUCAAAAGUUCCAUUGUAGAAUUCAGAAUGGUAGUUCAUUUCUACUCAAUUAUAGUUGUGGCGAACCUUUGCAGCACAGACCUCUGAACAACGGAAAGCAGCACGCUGUGUCAUCUGAGAAGGUCCCUUUGCUGCUAAGAGACCCUACAGAUACUCAUCAAGCACCCCGUUCCUGCCAGACACAGCUUCCACGUGGUCUGUUUUUCAGUUCAGCACUGACACAGCAGCUAGAGCUAUGGCUUGGAUCAUGUCACACUCCUGCUCCCAGACCUUCAGGGCUCCAGCUCAAGGCAGGAAGAACUGGGACCUGGAAUGAAGCCAGCUGUGGGGCCAGAGAAGCUGGCCCAGCUGGGCAGAGGACACAGCCAGGCAGCUCCGUGGGACUGAUCAUAGGUGGAAGAUCUUGGAAGGAGUCACCACACUCAGGGAAGAUUCAAGACCUAGAGGUCAGAGGGAGGACUCAGUCCCCAGGGAGGGGCCUGCAAAUGAAUGGAGGGCCCUGCCCAGAAGACCUGACUCCUAGCCUGAGCAGGGCAAGUUGACCGGGAGCAGGGCAGGGCGGGGUCCUUAUGUAAGCAAGCAGAAAAGGGGGUGCACCAGGGCUGGCUUGCUGUCGUGUCCAGCAGAGUAAAUGUGCUUAGGGGCAAGAGGGGUCCUGAGCCCUGACCUUGGACCUCUUCUGAAGGGGGCCGCAGGGCAAGGCUGGGGGCAGAAGGCCUGACAAUCUCUCUGCAGCCCUUGCCGCACCUACACAGGGCCUUCUCUACCCCAAGGCUGCCCAGAGGCUCCUCUGUGCCCCGGGCUGCUGCCUUUCCAGGGCCUGGGCGUGCUCCUCAGCCCGUCUGCCCCACCUCUUCACUGCCUGAAGCCUACUUAACCUUCAAGACCAAGUGCAAAGGCAGCAUGCUUUUUUCUUUUCCCCUUUCUAGCCCUUCCCAGUCUGUUUUUCUAUACAGCAGACUAAGUCUUGUAAUACUUGCUGCAUGCCUCUAUUAAAACACUCUUCAUUUUACCUGGUGUAUUAGUUUCCUGGAACUGCCAUAACAAAGCAUCACAUGCUUGGUGGCUUCAAACAACAGAAAUUUAUUAUCUCACAGUUCUGGAGGCCGGAAGGCUGAAAUCAAAGCUCCCUUGGAAAUCCUCUGGAGAAGAUCCUUCCUCACCUUCUCUGGCCUUUGGCAGGCCCGGGCACUCCUUGGCCUGUGGCCACAUCAUCCAGGCCCUUCCUGCUCAUCACAUGGCUGCUUUCUCUCUGUGUCUCUUUUCUUCUCAUAGGAACACCAGUCAUGUUGGAUUAAGGGUUCACCCUACUUCGAACUGACCUUAUUUUACCUUAAUUAUGUCUGUAAUUACCCUAUUUCCAAAUAAGCUCAAAUUCUGAGGUACUGGGGAUUAGGACUUUUUUUUUUUUUUUUUUAAAGAUUUUAUCCUUUUAUUUGAGAGAGAGAAAGAAAUCACAUAUGAGCAGGGGAGAGGCAGAGGGAGAGGGAGAAGUAGACUCCUUGCUGAGCAAGGAGCCUGGUGCGGGGCUCGGUCCUGGGACCCUGGGAUCAUAACCUGAGCUGAAGUCAGACGUUCAACCAACUUACCACCCAGGGAGCAAGAGAUUAGGACUUCAACAUGCCUUUUUGGGGGACACAAUUCAACCCAUCACACCUGGAAUGAGAGCUAUAUACAGGCCACCAUCCUUCACAAUAUCCCCAGCUCCUUGCCUACAGCUGGGCAAUUCUGGAAUGAAACAGACCUGGGUUUGUCACUCACCCUCUCAUAAAACCUGAGCAAGGUCCUUAAGCCAUGUGUCUUUUCUCGUCCGUAAAAUAACCACCACACCUAGAGCUACUGUGAUAUUUAUUAGAGUCCGUUCAUAGACCUAGUGAGUACCCUGGAAAUUGUAAUUAGUAGUAGUAGUAUUGCACAUUGAAUAGAGUAGAUACUCAAUAAAUAAAUGUUAGUCACUUCCUCUAACA